rnacentral:rRNA from 1 species
CAGCAGCCGCGGUAAUACGAAGGGUGCAAGCGUUAUUCGGAAUUAUUGGGCGUAAAGGGCGCGUAGGCGGCUAUUCAAGUGGCGGGUGAAAUCCCUCGGCUUAACCGGGGAACUGCCUGCCAGACUGGGUGGCUUGAGUCCGGGAGAGGUGAGUGGAAUUCCCAGUGUAGCGGUGAAAUGCGUAGAUAUUGGGAGGAACACCAGUGGCGAAGGCGGCUCACUGGACCGGAACUGACGCUGAGGCGCGAAAGCGUGGGGAGCA